CUUGGAUAUCUUGAAUUCCCCUAAAACAUGGCUUCCAAAUAUGCAUAUCAGCUUAUGGAUGAAGAAUAUUACUUCGGUAGUGGACAAGAGCACACAUAUGGGUUACAUUGGACAAUUGAUAUUUUGUGAACCACGUGGCUUAAGGAAUAAUUGAAAUCCAAUGUUUGCUAUAUUUUAAAAUCAAUUGACUUAUUUAAAUAAUUUUUGUAUUUAGGUUUACUUCAUACACAACAAACAAUGUGAACUGAAUCUAAAUGAAAAACAGUAAAUGCACCUAAAUCGAAUUCAAGUGGUGAUAUAUAAA